GGUUCGAUGGUGUAGUUGGUUAUCACGUAAGCUUAACAAAAAAGGAGAGCAGCUCUUUGAGAGCUGUAAACUCCCGAAUGUUAUCGCUUAAGGUCUAGAGUUCGAUCCUCUAUCGAAUCA